rnacentral:rRNA from 1 species
CAGUAGCCGCGGGAAAACAGAGGGUGCAAGCGUUAAUCGGAAUUACUGGGCGUAAAGCGCGCGUAGGUGGUUUGUUAAGUUGGAUGUGAAAUCCCCGGGCUCAACCUGGGAACUGCAUCCAAAACUGGCAAGCUAGAGUAUGGUAGAGGGUGGUGGAAUUUCCUGUGUAGCGGUGAAAUGCGUAGAUAUAGGAAGGAACACCAGUGGCGAAGGCGACCACCUGGACUGAUACUGACACUGAGGUGCGAAAGCGUGGGGAGCAAACAGGAUUAGAUACCCGGGUAGUCCCUGUCUCUUAUAA